UCCAGACUCCUACGGGAGGCAGCAGUGAGGAAUAUUGGUCAAUGGGCGAGAGCCUGAACCAGCCAAGUCGCGUGAGGGAAGACGGUCCUACGGAUUGUAAACCUCUUUUGUCGGGGAGCAAAGCGAGUCACGUGUGACUCAUUGAGAGUACCCGAAGAAAAAGCAUCGGCUAACUCCGUGCCAGCAGCCGCGGUAAUACGGAGGAUGCGAGCGUUAUCCGGAUUUAUUGGGUUUAAAGGGUGCGCAGGCGGAGGUACAAGUCAGCGGUCAAAUUGCGGGGCUCAACCCCGUACUGCCGUUGAAACUGCAUCCCUUGAGUGCGCGAGAAGUAUGCGGAAUGCGUGGUGUAGCGGUGAAAUGCAUAGAUAUCACGCAGAACUCCGAUUGCGAAGGCAGCAUACCGGCGCGCAACUGACGCUGAAGCACGAAAGCGUGGGUAUCGAACAGGAUUAGAUACCCCCGUAU
rnacentral:rRNA from 1 species